rnacentral:rRNA from 1 species
GGCUCAGGAUGAACGCUGGCGGCGUUCCUAAUACAUGCAAGUCGAGCGAAUGGGUUAAGAGCUUGCUCUUAUGAAGUUAGCGGCGGACGGGUGAGUAACACGUGGGUAACCUGCCCAUAAGACUGGGAUAACUCCGGGAAACCGGGGCUAAUACCGGAUAACAUUUUGAACCGCAUGGUUCGAAAUUGAAAGGCGGCUUCGGCUGUCACUUAUGGAUGGACCCGCGUCGCAUUAUCUAGUUGGUGAGGUAACGGCUCACCAAGGCAACGAUGCGUAGCCGACCUGAGAGGGUGAUCGGCCACACUGGGACUGAGACACGGCCCAGACUCCUACGGGAGGCAGCAGUAGGGAAUCUUCCGCAAUGGACGAAAGUCUGACGGAGCAACGCCGCGUGAGUGAUGAAGGCUUUCGGGUCGUAAAACUCUGUUGUUAGGGAAGAACAAGUGCUAGUUGAAUAACCUGGCACCUUGACGGUCCCUACCCAGAAAGCCACGGCAAAC